CAAAGGUUUGGUCCUGACCUUGAACUCAGUUUUUACUUAACUUACACAUGCAAGUCUCCGCACCCCUGUGAAAACGCCCUCUAACCCCUCUCCCGGGACGAGGAGCUGGUAUCAGGCUCAAUUACUGGCCCAAGACACCUAGCUUAGCCACACCCUCAAGGGAGUUCAGCAGUGAUCAACAUUGAAUAUAAGCGAAAGCUUGAUUCAGUUAAAGUAAACAGGGCCGGCAAACCUGUGUGCCAGCCGCCGCGGUUAAACCUGUGGACCCAAACUGACUCUCCCCCGGCGUAAAGCGUGGUUAAAGUCAACAUAAACUGUACUUAAACUAACACUACCUCUGUGGUACGCUUGUGAUUAGGAAACUCAAAAACGAAAGUUAGUACAGCAACACCCACUUGACCCCACGACAGCUGAAAAACAAACUGGAAUUAGGUACUUCACUAUGUUCAGCCGUAAACCUUAAUCUACACCCAAAUCGCCAGGAAACUACGAGCAAUGCUUAAAAUCCAAAGGACUUGACGGUUCCCCAUAUCUUCCUAGAGGAGCCU
rnacentral:rRNA from 1 species